UUGGGUUGCUUUUGAAGCUUUAAUAUAAGCGUGUUUGCCUUGUCUUAUUGUACCUUGUUUUGUCUUGUAUGGCUGUUGUCUCUUGGAGACCUGCUCUUUUCUGGAGAGGCAUUGAUGGAGGAGUUGAUCUUGGGAGGAGAGAGGAAAUCUAUAGAUAUUGUUCCUGGUACUCUUUCCCAUCCAUGUCAGGGUUGGUUGCACGACUGGCUCUGGUCACUGUGCCUCUUGCUUGUGGCUGUGAAGAUGCUAUCUGAUGUCAGCUGAGUUCAACUCCAGGAUCCAGGGCAGGUUCGAGGAUCAUCUCAAGGGCAGAGAACAAGUCCUCAGGCCAUAGGACAGAUGCUCCAGUAGAUAUAGGAGUGUGCUGAUCUUUAACGCUUGUGUUUGAAGCCUAUGAUCUAUCAUUUUCAUCAGCUAAGAUGAUUCGCAUGCAGUGUUUAAGGUUCCUUGGAUUGGAAAGGCAUGGCAAACAUGAGAAGUGAAAAAAGAAUUGAACUUGUACAAUCUC